CCAAUAAAGGGAAAAGAAAGAAGAAAAAAAUCUUCUCGAUCGGUCUCGAAAAAUCGAUCUACUACUUCAACUUCAAUAUCUCUCCCUCACCAUGAGAUCCACAGGCGAGAUAACACAUGUUCUUCUGCACAUACCCGGAUCAACCGAGGCGUGGAGGAAAUUCGAAUUGGCUCGAUUUUCUACGUAAUGCGCGGCACUUUGCCGCGCGAUCGGUAAGCAGAGCGGUACGAGGAGGGAGUCGCGAUCGGCCAGAGUCCCUCGGGACUCCCGAAAGGGCCGAGAGAAUCGUCGUAGACGCGCCGCGGGUGAGGAGCGCACUGAGGAUCCGGGAGCACGGUGCCACUGCACGCGCAUGCGCCACAGAAAUUCGCACAUCCUCUCCCUCCCGCCACCGACACCGCCGCUCGUUCCAUCCUUCUUUUUCGUUCGCCGGAUUCAUCAUUUUUCGUCCCUUCCUUUUUCUUAGAGGGGAGGACUCCGUUUGAAUUUGUUUCGAUGCCUUGAAAUUUUUGGAAGAUUUUGGAGGAGGAUAUUGUUGAUAUUAUUGUAUAAUUAUGUAUUCGAAUUAAUUAUAUCAAUUUAUAUACAUUUAUCUUAGAUAUAAAACAUAGCAUUGAACAGAACUAUAUAGAUAUAUCGCAUAUUAUUUUUGAACCAUUGGACCUCGUAGUUUGAAAUUAAAUACUUAUUAAAAAUAGAUUUCAAUAUCUUAUGCGAAGAAUAUUUUAAUGCUACUUAUAUUGUAAUUAAUUAUAAAUUAUAAUUGAGGAUUUAAAAAAUUCUUUUGGUAAUAAAUUUCUUUGUUAAAAUUAUAAUGUUUAGUAAAAUAAAAUUUAUAUAUUCUUAUA